GAUGAACGCUGGCGGCGUGCCUAAUACAUGCAAGUCGAGCGAACAGACGAGGAGCUUGCUCCUCUGACGUUAGCGGAGGACGGGUGAGUAACACGUGGAUAACCUACCUAUAAGACUGGGAUAACUUCGGGAAACCGGAGCUAAUACCGGAUAAUAUAUUGAACCGCAUGGUUCAAUAGUGAAAGACGGUUUUGCUGUAACUUAUAGAUGGAUCCGCGCCGCAUUAGCUAGUUGGUAAGGUAACGGGUUACCAAGGCAACGAUGCGUAGCCGACCUGAGAGGGUGAUCGGCCACACUGGAACUGAGACGCGGUCCAGACUCCUACGGGAGGCAGCAGUAGGGAAUCUGCCGCAGUGGGCGAAAGCCUGACGGAGCAACGCCGCGUGAGUGAUGAAGGUCUUCGGAUCGUAAAACUCUGUUAUUAGUGAAGAACAAAUUUGUAAGUAACUAUGCACGUCUUGACGGUACCUAAUCAGAAAGCCACGGCUAACUACGUG
rnacentral:rRNA from 1 species